CAAAAGCUUGGUCCUGGCUUUGACCUCAGCUCUAGCCAAAUUUACACAUGCAAGUAUCCGCAUCCCCGUGAGAAUGCCCAACAGUUCCCCGCCCCGGGAACAAGGAGCUGGUAUCAGGCACAUCCUUAUUAGCCCACGACACCUUGCUUAGCCACACCCCCAAGGGAAACCAGCAGUGAUAAACAUUAAGCUAUAAGUGAAAACUUGACUUAGUUAAAGCUAAGAGGGCCGGUAAAACUCGUGCCAGCCACCGCGGUUAUACGAGAGGCCCAAGUUGAGGAACAACGGCGUAAAGAGUGGUUAAAAUAAAUCUCAAACUAAGGUUGAAUAUUUUCAGGGCUGUUAUACGCAACCGAAAACAAGAAACCCAACUACGAAAGUGACCUUACCACAAAUGAACCCACGAAAGCUAGGACACAAACUGGGAUUAGAUACCCCACUAUGCCUAGCCAUAAACAUUGAUAGUACACCACAUAAACUAUCCGCCCGGGCACUACGAGCGCUAGCUUAAAACCCAAAGGACUUGGCGGUGCUUAAGAUCCACCUAGAGGAGCCUGUUCUAAAACCGAUAACCCCCGUUAAACCUCACCCCCUCUUGUUAUCCCAGCCUAUAUACCGCCGUCGUCAGCUUACCCUGUGAGGGUCUAAAAGUAAGCAGAAUUAGCAUAGCCCAAAACGUCAGGUCGAGGUGUAGCGCAUGAGGGGGGAAGAAAUGGGCUACAUUCCCUAAUAUAGGGAAUACGAAAGACAAAUUGAAAUAUUUACCAGAAGGAGGAUUUAGCAGUAAGCAGAGAACAGAGUGCUCCGCUGAAAUCGGCUCUAAGGCGCGCACACACCGCCCGUCACUCUCCCCGAAAAACAUUAAUCAACUUAACUAAAACCUAAGACACAUAGAGGGGAGGCAAGUCGUAACAUGGUAAGUGUACCGGAAGGUGCACUUGGAAAAAA
rnacentral:ncRNA from 1 species